GUGAAAAAGAUAUUAGGAUGAAUAGUCGCUCUGAAAUAAAAUUUAUGCACAAAAUGUUUAAAGUAUAUUAUUUAUUCACUAUGUUUCUUCUAUUCUAGUUACUCUCUCUGGAAAUGGAGAAAACGGAAAGGCCGUUGUUUACCUUGUGGCUUUCCAUCUGUUCUUUGUUAUGUUUGUAUGGUCCUAUUGGAUGACAAUUUUCACAUCUCCCGCUUCCCCCUCCAAAGAGUUCUGUUUGUCCAAUUCUGAAAAGGAACGUUACGAAAAGGAGUUCAGCCAAGAAAGACAACAAGAAAUUUUGAGAAGAGCGGCAAGGGACUUACCUAUCUACACCACAUCAGCUUCAAGGACCAUCAGAUAUUGUGAAAGAUGUCAGUUGAUUAAACCUGACCGGGCACAUCACUGCUCAGCAUGUGACAUAUGUAUUCUUAAGAUGGAUCAUCACUGUCCUUGGGUGAAUAACUGUGUGGGAUUUUCUAAUUACAAAUUCUUCCUGCUGUUUUUAUUGUAUUCCUUGUUAUAUUGCCUUUUUGUGGCUACAACAGUUUUACAGUACUUUAUAAAAUUUUGGACGAAUGAACUCUCUGAUACACGUGCAAAGUUCCACGUACUUUUUCUUUUCUUUGUGUCUACAAUGUUCUUCAUCAGCGUCCUGUCACUUUUCAGCUACCACUGCUGGCUGGUUGGAAGAAACAGAACAACAAUAGAAUCAUUCCGCUCACCCACAUUUUCAUAUGGACCUGAUGGAAAUGGUUUUUCUCUUGGAUGCAGUAAAAAUUGGAGACAAGUCUUUGGCGAUGAAAAGAAAUACUGGCUACUUCCAAUAUUUUCAAGCUUGGGUGAUGGUUGCAGUUUUCCAACUCGCCUUGUGGGGAUGGAUCCAGAACAAGCUCCUGUUACAAAUCAAAAUGAAUAUGCUAGAAGUAUUGGCUCAAGUCAACCCUUUCCUAUCAAACCGCUUAGUGAAUCAAAAAACCGAUUGUUGGACAGUGAAUCUCAGUGGACAGAGAAUGAAUCUGAGGAAGGCACUGUCAGAGCAGGUUUUCAUGAAUGUUUUAACAGCUCUGUGAAGUUAGCCUCAUUUUCUUGAACCCCUGCAUAUCCGUGCCUUCCAUUUGAUAAAGAGGAUUUAAGGUUCCUUAACUCCCCUCCUGCUGUUCUUCCGGCAAGAAUUGUCACCACCUGUCAGCCCAUUCUCCAUACAAGAGACCACGAUGAAGGCAUUUGAAGAAGAGGCCACGUGUAGCUAUUUUCAUCAAAACUAAAGUGUCUCCACUGGAACGAUCUUGAAGACAUUACGUGAAAUAAUCAAAUAGCAGCGCUCUGCCCACAUGGUGAGAUCCCACCUAGAGGCUUCAAAGUACCUGUUGUGUACCUGUGGGUUCAAACUCCGCCUAUUUGUGGAGCACCUGCUCCAGAGGAUGGGUGAGUGCUGGGACCAGGGGGAGUCCGGGGCUGACUCGGGUGGGGUCGCAGCUGCUCCUGCCCUCAGGCUGCCGCCGGAGACAUACGGGGACCCCAGGACCCACACACUGGAAUGGCAGGGGAAGCUCCCAGGCCCGAAUCUGCCGGGGUGCCAGCAGGCAGAGCGGGCCCAGGACGUCAGCGGGCCCCCGGGCGUUCUCGGUGCCAGGCAUGAACAGUACCUCGUGGCUGCCCGGAAGGGACGACCGCCUGUUGAGGUUUGCCAACGACAAACCUGUGCAUACAGGGUGGACAAGCUGCGGUGACACUUUGCUCAGCCUUUUACAAUAAACCUCAAGCCCCUGUUUGCAAUCUGUAGCCUUUCUCGAUGCAGAGAAGCUGUCGACGUAUGCUGAAAGUCCAGUUAGAAAAACGACCUGUUUUGCGAUCGUCUUUCUGUUAAAAUUCACUCAAGAGACACAUCAUCCGGAAACGACUUGCGGAAAUGCAAUCUCCGCAUCGCUUCUUGGAUUCAGGUCCACGCUUGUUUCCAGAGUUCGAGAGAAGGAGAGAAGACAGUGAGGGAUGGGGAAGGGUUUCCCCAGAAUGUGUUGGAACUGUUGUCCAUAUGUGCAUGGUUUUCCAGCGUCCUGCACGUAGUGUAUAUAGUGAUUAAACUUAAGUCCUUAUUUAAAAUAUGUAGCUUUUCUA